GGUCUGCCCGUAACUAAUAGCCAUUUUUGAACGUUACUGGUAAACGUUUUUGUAGGAAUACUAUGUGGUUUUCAAGACCAAAACCAUGAGCACUGCUACACGUACUAUUAUUUUAGUACGAUUCAUGUACUAUGUUCAGAUUACACCGUUAGUCUGCUUUGCAAAGAAAAGAGAGACCCGUCAGAUUCACUGUCGUACGAAAGUCAUACAUACCAUCGUCGUACAUGUAAUAGUUCCAAAAACACACCAGCACUAAUACCACUUCGCAUGGAAAGAGAGGCCAUUGUUGUCCGAUUUCAACAACUGAAUGAUGAAAAUAUAUCUAAAAAGAUAUUUCCUCCGUUUCUAAAUACUUGUUGUUUUAGUGCAAGUUUUUUUUUCUCGAACACGCCGAACGGCGUGUCUUUUCCAUUAAGAAGAAGGCGGAAGUACAUGCAACAAAAAAAAACCGGGGCCAAAAGGAAAACAAAGAAAACAGAAAAAGAAGAAACGGAGAAGAAGAAGAAAAACGCCUUAGGCAACUAUACAAGGAGAGGGAGGGAGUAGAAAACAUUUAGUGCAAGUUUGAACUAAAACAGCGACAAGUAUUUAGGAACGGAGGGAGUAGAAAACAUUUACACAUUUUUUAACGAGUCAGAUACUAACAAUAUACUUUUUUCAAACAAUAAUACAACUCAACAACCACCCAUACCAAUGGUGGGUGGAGAGUGAAAAGUGAAAACAACAAGAAAAUGUUCUCUGUUGUCCGGGU
rnacentral:lncRNA from 1 species